CCGAGGAGUCCCAGUCGGCUGCGAGUCGUUGGAGCGAAUCGAGCUACUAACUCCGACGGCACAGUGAAAGCGAGAACGUGACACGUCGUCGGCAUCAACGCUUCGGCUGUUUGGUGUCGGCGUCUCGAAGCAUCGUUCCCGGGUCGGGCCAGCGCGCGCGUUUAGCAGGUUGCUUUGUUUCUGCGCUGCGGCGGCUGCCGUUCGCGGUUCGUCGUCGUUGUUUGGAUCAUUCUUCAGGCGGCGCGUGCGCUCCGACUCAGGUGUAGCAGGCGGCCGGGGACCCGAAAGAUGGCGAUCCACGCCCGGUCGGGACGAAGCCAGAGGAAACUCUGGUGGAAGUCCGAAGCGCCUCUGACGUGCAAAUCGAUCGUCGGAACCGGGUGUAGGGGCGAAAGACCAAUCGAGCCGUCUA
rnacentral:rRNA from 1 species